GGGCCAUAUCACUUUGAAACACCAGUUCUCAUCUGAUCACCAAAGUUAAGCAAUGUAGAGCCUGGUCAGUAUCUAGCUGGGUAACUGCUUGAGAAUAUCAGGUGCUGUAAG